UAAAGGGAGAGGCAGGCAGGGUUGCGGGUUAUGCAGUGACACCGGUUUGUGACAGUGAGGUCCAGAGAUGGUGGCAGCAGGACUGGAAAGACAGGUUGGAUGAAAAAUGUGAAGACUAAAGUAUGAUAUGUUUCUCUCAGUUGAGAAAAAUGAGUCCAAAUGAAGAAAAAUGUCAAAUAAAUAACAGCACAGAAUGUACCCAGAUGUGGCAAAGAUGGCCGAGGGCUGCGAACUUUGAGAAAGAAGACCAGAAGGCCAGAGUUGGUCACCUCCUUUGGGAAAGGGAACAAAUUCUUGCCAAGGGCACAGACAUGCAUUAUCUCAUUUAACCCUCCUGUCCAUUGGGAACCAAGGCUCAUCCUCUUUCCAAAGAAAAGGAAACUGCAUCUCCAAGAGGCAAAAGCAGUUGCCCAAGACCACACCGGCCUGUGAGGAUGGUGCAAGGUUUGGACCAGGGUCUACCUCCGGGACCUCACUGUUAUCACAGCAACCUGGGCCUUGGGGCACAAGGGCCUGUAUUGAGGGGCCAUGUGGGAGACUGGUGAGCCAUGAUCAAGAAGAGCAUGGCAGGCCGGGUGCGGUGGCUCAUGCCUAUAAUCCUAGCCCUCUGGGAGGCUGAGACGGGUG